AGGGUGCAGGGCGGAUGCCUUGGCACUAGGAGCCGAUGAAGGACGUGAUAAGCUGCGAUAAGCUUCGGGGAGUUGCACGUAAACUUUGAUCCGAAGAUUUCCGAAUGAGGAAACUCACUUAGAGUAAUGUCUAAGUAUCAUUAAGUGAAUACAUAGCUUAAUGAGGGGAACUCAGGGAACUGAAACAUCUAAGUACCUGAAGGAAGAGAAAGAAAUUCGAUUCCGUAAGUAGCGGCGAGCGAACGCGGAUUAGCCCAAACCAAUAAAGUUUUCUUUAUUGGGGUUGCGGACAUAUCAUAACGAAGAGGUAUCGUAAUUGAAGAGGUUUGGAAAGACCCACCACAGAAGGUAAUAGUCCUGUAUGUUAAACGAGAAGACUUCAGAUAUGAUCCAGAGUACCACGGGACACGUGAAACCCUGUGGGAAGCAGGAGGGACCACCCUCCAAGGCUAAAUACUACCUAGUGACCGAUAGCGUAUAGUACCGUGAGGGAAAGGUGAAAAGAACCCCGGGAGGGGAGUGAAAUAGAACCUGAAACCCUGCACUUACAAGCUGUGGAAGCACAUUUCUUGUGUGACCGCGUACUUUUUGUAGAACGGGCCAACGAGUUACGUUAAGUAGCAAGGUUAAGCACUUAAGGUGCGGAGCCGUAGCGAAAGCGAGUUUUAACUGAGCGUUCAGUUACUUGACGUAGACCCGAAACCGGGCGACCUACCCAUGAGCAGGAUGAAGCGAAAGUAAAAUUUCGUGGAGGUCCGAACCCACGAGCGUUGAAAAGCUCGGGGAUGACUUGUGGGUAGCGGUGAAAUUCCAAUCGAGCCCGGAGAUAGCUGGUUCUCCCCGAAAUAGCUUUAGGGCUAGCCUCAAGGUGAGAGAUACGGAGGUAGAGCACUGAAUGUCCUAGGGGGUAUUGCACCUACCGAAGACUAUCAAACUCCGAAUGCCGUCAUCUUAUACUUGGGAGUCAGACUGUGGGUGAUAAGAUUCAUAGUCGAAAGGGCAACAGCCCAGAUCGUCAGCUAAGGUCCCUAAAUGUAAGUUAAGUGGUAAAGGAUGUGGGAUUGCACAGACAACCAGGAUGUUGGCUUAGAAGCAGCCACUCAUUCAAAGAGUGCGUAAUAGCUCACUGGUCGAGUGAUCCUGCGCCGAAGAUUUCCGGGGCUAAAACUUACUACCGAAGCUACGGCAUCAGUAAUGAUGGGUAGGGGAGCUUCCCAUACGGGUUGAAGCAUGACCGUAAGGACAUGUGGACAGUAUGGGAGUGAGAAUGUUGGCAUGAGUAGCGAGAUGUGGGUGAGAAUCCCACAGGCCGUAAACCCAAGGUUUCCAGGGGAAGGUUCGUCCGCCCUGGGUUAGUCGGGACCUAAGCUGAGGCCGAAAGGCGUAGGUGAUGGACAACAGGUUGAUAUUCCUGUACUACCGAUAACCGUUUGAGAGAAGGGAUGACACAGUAGGAUAAGCUAAGCACACUGUUGGUUAUGUGUGCCCAAGCAUUGAGGCAGUCAAAGUAGGCAAAUCCGCUUUGAUAAUGCUGGGAUGUGAUGGGGAGCGAAAUUUAGUAGCGAAGUAGCUGAUUUCACACUGUCAAGAAAAGUCUCUAUCGAGGUUAAAGGUACCCGUACCGCAAACCGACACAGGUGGGUGAGGAGAGUAUCCUAAGGCCAGCGAGAGAACUGUUGUUAAGGAACUCGGCAAAAUGACCCCGUAACUUAGGGAUAAGGGGUGCCACCAUCAGGUGGCCGCAGAGAAUAGGCCCAAGCGACUGUUUACCAAAAACAUAGGUUUCUGCUAAGUCGCAAGACGAUGUAUAGGAGCUGACGCCUGCCCGGUGCUGGAAGGUUAAGGGGAUCUGUUAGAGCAAUCGAAGCAGUGAACUUAAGCCCCAGUAAACGGCGGCCGUAACUAUAACGGUCCUAAGGUAGCGAAAUUCCUUGUCGGGUAAGUUCCGACCCGCACGAAAGGCGUAACGAUUUGGGCACUGUCUCAACAACAGACUCGGUGAAAUUGUAAUUCCGGUGAAGAUGCCGGAUACCUGCGACAGGACGGAAAGACCCCAUGGAGCUUUACUGUAGCUUGACAUUGGGUCUUGGUACUACAUGUACAGGAUAGGUGGGAGGCUUUGAAACCAGGACGCCAGUUUUGGCGGAGCCAUCCUUGGGAUACCACCCUUGUAGUACUGGGACUCUAACCAUAGGCCAUGAAUCUGGUCUUGGGACACUGUCAGGUGGGCAGUUUGACUGGGGCGGUCGCCUCCCAAAAGGUAACGGAGGCGCUCAAAGGUUCUCUCAGUACGGUCGGAAAUCGUACGUAGAGUGUAAAGGCAAAAGAGAGCUUGAUUGCAAGACAUACAGGUCGAGCAAGGAUGAAAAUCGGACUUAGUGAUCCGGUGGUUCUGCGUGGAAGGGCCAUCGCUCAACGGAUAAAAGCUACCCUGGGGAUAACAGGCUUAUCUCCCCCAAGAGUCCACAUCGACGGGGAGGUUUGGCACCUCGAUGUCGGCUCAUCACAUCCUGGGGCUGUAGUAGGUCCCAAGGGUUGGGCUGUUCGCCCAUUAAAGUGGUACGCGAGCUGGGUUCAGAACGUCGUGAGACAGUUCGGUCCCUAUCCGUCGCAGGCGUAGGAAAUUUGAGAAGACCUGUCCUUAGUACGAGAGGACCGGGAUGGACGUACCUCUGGUGUACCAGUUGU
rnacentral:rRNA from 1 species